UCUCCGCUUGUCAGUCAAAGAGGCUGGGGCUCCGCCCAUUUCUAAGCGUUCUCAUUCCGCUAGUCGGCGCGUGCGCAGUCCUCGCUUCUCCUCAGGAAAGUCUUCGAUGUUUUUGUGACGAGGUGACGACGAAUCCUGGAACCACAUGCUGGUGCCAUAUUCAUCUGAACCGUCCCUCAGGGAUCCUGUGUAAUUGAAGGUGUUCUAAGUGGGUGGCAGAGGAUGGGGACAGAGUGGCAAAGAAGGACAGGGAGACAGACAUCUAGGGAACUUUCUCAUGAAUAUCAGCACCCGGCGGACAGAGACAGGAGGAUUUCCUUGAUAUUACCUGGUAUUGACAGACAUGUGGCGUAUAUGUGUCUGCAGGUGUCUCUCUGCAGAAACAUCUGAAAUUCCCCCAUGUACAGGAUGCAGCAAAAUCCAGUGGACUUCCCAACCGGAAAAUUUCUCUGGAAUUCCGCUCGGAAAUGCCACCAUGAGAACAUGGCCCAACAAGGAGGAAGAGCUAUGCCUGAUCCAAGAGACCCAGUGCCUUACAAUUUUCAGAAAAUGAGGGGAGAACUUCUUAAAAAAUGUCAAUGCAAACAGAGCUGAACAGGUCUCCACCCUGACUGCAGGACGGAGGAGGGGGACCAGACCCCUCUCGGAGGUAGAUGGAAGAAGCAUGAUCCUUCGUGGCUGUCUCACCUCACCUUGCUGCCUUAUUGCCUUAAAGUUGUGUCUGUUUUUUUAGGUCUUGCUAGACCAGUGUUUCCUAACCAGGGUGCCUCCAGCUG